UAGAUAAGAAGCAAGAAGCAAAGAGGAAGUGGGCGGAGGCAAAGAAAAGAAUAGAAGAGGAACAAAAAAAAGAAGUUGAAGAGAAGAAAAAGAGGAGUAGCCAAGCAGAGGGAGGAGGAAAAAGAUCUCAGGAAGAAGGAGGAAAUGAAGGGAGGAAGAAAAAGAAAGGAAGGAAGGAAAGAAAGAAAAACAAAGGGUUGAAGAAGAGAAAGAAGAGCAAAAAAGGGAUAAAGGAGGAGAGGCGAACAUAGACUAUCCUGCUGAUAU
rnacentral:lncRNA from 1 species